CCUGUGUCCCUACCCCUACUCACCUCCUCACAUAGGGUCUUGUCAGGCCUUUUGUUUUUGUUUCUCUCCUCCCUCCUCACCCCAGCUCCUUCAAAGCCUUGCUGUAUCCUAGGCUGGCUUUGAACUUACUCUGCAGCCUAGGACGGCCUCAAAUUAGCCAUCCUGUCUUGGCCACAGAAGUCCUAGGCUUAUAGGCAGGCACCGCUACACUUGGCUCGGCUGGUCGUUUUUGUUUUGUUUUUUUAGGGAGGCAGCUUUCAAAGGUUUCUGGAAACCUCUCCCAGGGACAAGGGUCUGGAGGCAGAGUGUCUAAGGGGACGUAGUGAAGCUUUCUCGUUACUGGGCUUUGAGGUUUCUCUACCUUGUACAGGAUCUGAAACAUCGGUAUAGCUUCAGAUAGCCCAGAAGUGACGGAGAGGUCCCAGGGAAGGGGAGGAGGAGCCCUGGGCCAUACGUAGAAUCCUCCUGAGGAGCAUAGUGGGCAAAUGUUGGGUCUCAGUUCAAUGUCCCCCUGCCCCAUUGCCACUCUCCAUCGCCCCCCCCCCUUGGGCCCUCCCUCUGUUUUCAUUUUUUUCUUUGCAGGUUAAAGAAAUGACUAGCAAAUAUUAGUCAUGCACACUAAUGGUUUCGUGACAUUUUCGAACUUGAUUAUAAUGUAUGUUGGCAGUAUUCUUCCCCCAUCUCCUCCUGUGUCCCCUCCUGCUGAUCCCUUUCCUCUUCCCAGAUAAUCCCCCAACUACUCCCACGUUUUGAUGUUCUCUUUUGGUGAGUCAAUGAGUUUUAUUAAGGUUUCUUGCAGGAGUGUGCAUUCAGGACAGGUUAUUGACAGUGCUGUGGGCACCUUACCCAUGGCCACAGCACUAAAGAAAAUGCCCCCUCCUCCCUUAGGAUGAACUGUUUAUAGACGCCCACGGAGGUACAGGGCCUCGCCUCUGAGUUUUUAUUUUAUCUGUGAUAGAAACAGCAUUGUUCUGUUGAUAUGUGCAUGUGUGUGCACACGCAUGUGCCCUGUGUGCAUGUUUGGCCAUGUGAUCUCAAGAGUCAGAUGCAUCUGGUUUUAUGAGGAAGUGUGCGCAUGCACUCGUCCUGGGCAGUGAUCUCGGGGCGUUCUCUUCAUGCUUAGUCAAGGUAUGCGACAUCCAGCUCAUGUGAGCAGUGUCUAGUGUUUCAGAGACAUCUGUGUCCACUGAUCUGUCCGUCUACUUGUACAUGCAGGCUCACACCGGGUCCCUGAGGGGGUGUGUGUCACUACAUGGGCAUCACGCACUAGACCCUAGACUUGGUUUCACCGUGGGGAGAUGUAUGCGCACAAGUGCCUUGGUAUCUAUGUCUAGCACUGUCCAUGUGGGUGACUGUGAGUCUUGGGGUGGGUAUCAAUCUUUUCUCAUUAUGGCACAACUACAACUUCCUUGGACCCUUGCUAUCGGGUGGCAGCCACGGUGACGUUAUGAUGCUUCAGCACUCCUGCCCCAACCUGGGCUGGAGGCACAGGGAGAGCUGCCUCUCCAUGCAGACGGUAUGGCUUGCUCUCUGUGUGCCCACAGCCAACAACUUGUCUUUUCUUGAGGCAACUAUUCAGUGAGUUGGAUCAGGCUGUGGACUUUGGCCAGGGCUGCGACUUCUCUGAGACACUUGGAGACGGGAGGGGGGACACCCUUUAAAAUCCUACCGAAGAAAACACCCAUCCUACACGUUUGAGGAGAACCUUGACCUGUGAUACUCUCUGGGGCAACAGGAGUGUCUGCUUGACCUGAAUACAGUUAAGAGAGCAGGCAGUCACCCAGGCACGUGUGCACGUGCCAAGGCUCACGCUCCAUUCCAGAGCUCAAGUUGAAUGUCAGAGGCAGACAGUGAAUCACCCAGGGGCGAGGGAGCUUGGGCAUCAAAAUCACCAUAUUCUCUAGCCCUUGUGUGGAGAAUGCUGCACCUAAUUGUGAGGAGACUGGAAGGCAUGUCUGGGUGACUAUGUGUUGUCAGGAGAGACAGGGCCACCAAAUAAAUGCCUUGGUAUCCCCUGGUUCUACAGAAGCAAACCCAACCCUUCUUCACUACCUGUUAUAGUUCUCAGUUCCAUUUCUGUUCCGUCCUUCCUCCCCUAAUUACAAACCCAUUUCUCAGAUGAAGAGACUGAGGUACCUAAUAAAUCUCCAAGGCAGAAUUAAAUAGCUAUCCCAGGUGUCUCUGAACUCUAGUCCCCAAGGUCUUGGGAGACAGCCAGACAUUUCUGAAUCUGGACCUCCUGUGCCUUAUACCCUGUCAGCUUCCAGGUAGGUGAACAGAUUCUUGUUGGCAAGGCACAGAUGUACUACUUCCCCAGGUAAAAAUUCACUACAAAAUCUGCCCCCCUCACCACUGGUAUUUGGCAUCCCAUCUGCUUCUCUCACCCCAGAGUCCUGCUAGGUCCAACGCUGAGAACUCUGGGAGCCUGCACCCUCCAGUGUUCUAUCUGUUGGUCUCAUCCCUGUGAGCUCUCCUAGGAACCUAUAUAUUCAAUAUUUGCAAUAAUUGAAUAGACUCCUGUUCCUUUUGCUCCCCAUGGUCUGACCACAGUGGCUCCUGCUGCAGCAUGGGGCAGUGGGAAAUGACCAGGACGUGCAGAAGGUAUUGAACUGGAGUCACAGGAGGUGGGGCACUGCCUGAGCCCCAAGUGACGCCCUCUGCUGGUGCCUUUUUCUCCUGUUAGCACUAGUGGCUGCUGUCAUUCAGCAGAGCUCAAGGAGACCUUGGCCAGAGUGUCUGCCAUCCAAGAUGGUGUUUCCAUGAGUGUGUGGGGACACAUGGGCUGGCAUUCAGUCCUAGAGCUUCUUGGAAAAGGGUCAGAGUCGGGGCCUGUGUAGGUGUGUUGGGGAACCCACUGAUGGGCUCCGACCUUCCCCUGUCUCAAUAUUCUGAAGAUGCCCACAGGGUACAAAGAAACCCUGUCUGAUAGGGUCCUGCCCUGCUGAGAGUCUGAGACCUCCCUAGUGAGGUCCCAAGGAUGGGAACUAUAUAAGUCUGGGGAAGAGACUGGGUUUACAUAAUCUGUGGAUAGGAGGAUGGGGAGACCAGCACACACGGCCACGCAGCAGCCUUCAGACCAUGGAGGCUGCAGUGGAUCCCACUAGUUUGUGGAGGUAUAUAGGGUCCAGGGCUGCUCAUACUUGGCCUCCCCUGGUUAGCACUGAUUCAUAUAACUCUACUUAUCUUCCCACCCCACCCCUCCACCACAGGCUGGCCUCCUACAAGGCGACAGGGUCUUGUAGAUUUAUAACAACUUGUUUGCUGGAACUUUCUGGGAUACCGUACAUGUUUUCUGUGUUAGCCAGGCCAUGUGGGCUACUGAGUACUUAAAUGUGGCUAGUGUCCACUGAAUUGGUUUUUGGUUUGUUUUGGACUGGAUUCUAAUGGUCCGAGGACUGCUGUCUGGAACUGUUUCAAACUGGCCUUCACCUCCCCAGGUUCCUUCAUUGAAAACAUCUCAGAGUACUUAUUUGGUCCUGUUGUAGGACGGGGUGGGACCGAGGUUUUAGAAAUAUGUGAAGCAUUUGACAGACUUCCAGGAGGGCGCCUGUCAUAUUGAUCUUGGUCUUACACUUGUCCCCCAUUCUCACAUCCUUUGGGUGGUGGGCAGGCUGAAAUCUUGGAAUCACAGGCUUUUGGGAAGCAAAGACGAGGAAGGAAGUGAUUUCCACCCCCUAACAAGUGCCAAAGUCCACACACACACACACACACACACACACACACACACACACACACACACACUCAGCUUUUUAAAAUUCUCCAAAUUUUGGGAUAUACCUUUUAGAAACCAGGCACAUUGCCCUAUCUGGGGUUUAUACAUAAAGAAGUUAUUGGCCUGGGAAGGUAGCUUGACUGGUAGAGCACUUGCCUUGCAUGCUGGGAGCCCUGGGUUUGAGCACGCAUAGCAUGCACAGAGCUGGACGUGGUGGCACACGGCUGUAAUCAGGAGCUAGGGGUAGGAGAAUAAGAAGUUCAAGGCCAUCCUCUUUGUAGUGCACUUGAGGCCAGCCUGGUGUACACGAGACCCUGCCUCAAAGGCAGAAAAAGAAGAGAGAAGCCAGUUGUCUUGCCUGCCCUUGGGGAAUGUAUGGGAGAGAGGGAAGGCAGAGGGAAGAAAGAGACGUGAAGGAACUGAACCAGAAACAGAGCUACAACAUGUAGGGGGUGGCCUGGAGCGGACAGCAGGGGCAGUGAUGGAAAACGGCGGGGCUUCCUGGGUAAAGCCAUUCGGUUGCAGAUACACAGAGAACUCCAGCACACAGGGAGUAGCCUCGGACUGGAGGCCAGUUACCAGCCCAGCCGUGGAGGAGGUCGGGGUAGCAGAGGGGGUGUCUGAGACGUUGAUCCUUGUGGGAGGGAGUGGGGGAAGCUGACCAAGGAGAGAGGAAGAGUGGGGAUUCUAGGCUCAGGGGAAAGUUCCAAGUGAUGAGGGUAUGCUUAGGACUGUUCAGGGACCUGGGUUCAAUUUCCAGAUAGGCAGGCAGGCAGGCAGGCAGACAGACAUAGUAACGACUUCAGCAGCUUUAUAAAAUAGCCUGUUUGGGGAUGGCUGGGUGGGAUAAACAGGAGUACUAAGAAUACAGAGAUGUUGGAGGCUGGGGAGGUUCUUGGCGAGGUGCCUGACUUAAGUAGUAAAGUCCCACUGAAGAGGCAAAAGCAAGGGAGCACCACAGCCUAAUAGGUAUGAGCUGGCUGUUCUCAGGCUGUAGGGGAACUGUGCAGAGGCAGAAAGACUCCUGCUGUGACAGCCUGACCUGGGCUGAGGCAGGCCGGACUGAGGUGAUGCGUGAUGGGUUUGCAGUGUGGCCUAUGGCUGAGGAGGAUGAGUGUCCUGAUUGUACAUCAGCCGAUUGCUGCUCGAGAAACCUUGGGCAAAUGACUUAGUCCAAUGCCUCGGUUUCCCCCGCCCACAGUCAGUAAUAAUCUUGGUCUCCUCGGGGAAUCGUGUACAGUCUCAACCCAAGGCCUGGCUCGGUUUUUACUGGUUGGAUAAACGAUAGUUGCUGCUGGUCCUGCUGCUGUGGGCACAAGAGGAGAGGACAAACUUCACAUCGUUAGGAGGUACGGAGGUUGGCAGAUCUGACCCAACUGGACCCGACCUUCAGAUCUCAGAGGCUCCUCUUGGGGAUGCAGAGCCAACCAGCUAAUCGUACUCACUGCAGCCCAGUCCAAAGCCUGUCCUCACUCUGUAGCCCAUUCCUGGGACCUUUCCCACGGCUGCAUGCCCGCAUGCCAGUGCCAUGAAUGUGAGCCAGUGCCUGUGUGCGCAUGACAGGGAAAAGCAGAUGCCCUUGAAAUGUUCAGCUCUGUAUUGAUGAUAUAGGUAUCUGUGGGCUUUGACAUCCUGUGAGUUAGACAUCCGGGAGGUCUGUGUUGUAGCCCUGAGUCAGCUACAAAAUACUCAGGAGCCCUGAGAACCACAUCUGUCUUCGGGACUCGAUUUGGGCUAAAAGUCACUACUGUGUUCUUAGCUACUACAGCAGACUUUGCCAACUAGCAUCUUCCUUGUCCUGGAGGGAGGGAGGCCCUUGGGAGAGUCUGGGAGUUCCUUACCUCUUCCCGGUGUACCUCACUGCAUGACUCUGUACUCCCCUCCCCAUCGAGUCUAUCCCAUCCCUGCGGACAGCAUAAGCCCCCAUUCCCUUCUAAACUGGUCCCUUGUCUUCCUCAUCUCUGAUCUCCUAGAGCAGAGCUUGAGCUAAGCUGGAUAGAUGAUUUCCCCUUAGCUUGGUGGGCCGUCUCUCUCUUGCCUCCCCACCAGCUUCCCUAUCUUAGGGAGUUGCUUUGUGGGUGAGGGAAGCAGGGAUGCGGCCAGCAUUUAGAGAGGGUCUUGGGUCCCCUGUCCCGAGGGCAGGUAUGGUGCCCGCUGGGAAGCCUCCAACGCCACCAAGUGCAAGCAGUACUUCAGUGAGCAGUGGGAAAAGGUGUUGCCCUGUUUGGAUCUUGACUACAAGCAGAAGCUGAUGCUCUUCUCUCUAGAAUGUCGCCAGGCCCCAGUGCACAACAAGCACACCAAAGCCAAGAAUGUUUUCAUGGUGAGCACCGACAACUUCCAGGCUUUGGAAGUCAGCCGGGACCAGCCCAUGCUGGAAGACCCUGCUGAGGGUGAGGGACCUACUGUAGCCUGGCAACCACUCCCAACUUUAGGGUUGUCAAGAUGGAGGCAGACCUGGGCAAAGUGGUUGUGUCGGACAUGUAUACUACGUGACUGACUAUAGAGGACGCACCACUGGAGCCACAGAGAGUCAACCUGUGUCAGGCACUGAUGGACACAGAGCACGACCUUCACCAAGUGCUGCCUACAGCCCGGGCACUGGGCCAGCCACAUUGAGUACAACAGUGAAGAAGCCAGGCCUGGCCCUUCUCAUUGGGUGAAUACAGACAUGUUUCUCACUCCCUGGGCCAGAGGUUGCCAGCUGGUUCUUGGGCCGUGGCUGACUUACAUUGGGUUUGAUGAACUUUUACUGUGCUUAUCAUAUACACACACACACGCGCACGCAUGCACGGACGCACGCACGCGCGCGCGUCAGGACCAGUCUCCAGUUCACUAUGUAGCUAAAGAUAACCUUGGCUUUCUGAUCCUCCUGCUGUACUCUCCCAAUUGCUGAGAUUAUAUAUAUAUUCAUAUUCCAGAGCUUGGAGUUUCUAUAAUUUCCCAUUUUUAAUCUUCUGAUUCCCUGCAAGCUCUAAGCCACCCACGUGGCUCCUGGAGUUGCACAUGGCACCCUAGAUUCAGCUGUGUGAGUCCUGGGGUGUGAGGCUGGAGGUGGAGGGAAAGUUGGAUUAAUUCUAUAGAGACAAACAGCACAUAUCGGGACCCUUAUUGGCCAGGAAUGGCUAGUGAAUGUCUUUUGUUGAGUCCCUGAGCCACUGGGUGAACCCCCCUGCUCCUUGCCCCUGAAUAAAAUACCCUGCAGGUAUGAGAGCUGAUAAA